UACGGGAGGCAGCAGUGGGGAAUAUUGCACAAUGGGCGAAAGCCUGAUGCAGCUAUGCCGCGUGUAUGAAGAAGGCCUUAGGGUUGUAAAGUACUUUCAUCGGGGAGGAAAAACAAAACUAAUAAUUUUAUUUCUUGACGUUACCCGAAAAAGAAGCACCGGCUAACUCCGUGCCAGCAGCCGCGGUAAUACGGAGGGUGCUAGCGUUAAUCAGAAUUACUGGGCGUAAAGAGCACGUAGGUGGUUUUUUUAAGUCAGAUGUGAAAUCCCUGGGCUUAACCUAGGAACUGCAUUUUGAAACUGAAAUACUAGAGUAUUGUAGAGGGAGGUAGAAUUCUAGGUGUAGCGGUGAAAUGCGUAGAUAUCUGGAGGAAUACCUGUGGCGAAAGCGGCCUCCUAAACGAAUACUGACACUGAGGUGCGAAAGCGUGGGGAGCAAACAGGGAUUAGAUACC
rnacentral:rRNA from 1 species